ensembl:lncRNA
CCCGUAGGUGCAGCUGUGGGGCCCCACAACCCCCCCCCCCCCCCGCCCCAUAAGGGAGGUGACGGCCGGAGGUGACUCAGAGGGGCCCCAACGUUGGCAAAUAGGGACUAAAAGAACAGCCCCAUAAUGAUCCCAUCACUGCCCCAUAAUGACCCCAUAACAGCCCCACAGUGACCCCCUAACUGCCCCAUAGUGACCCCAUAACUGCCCCAUAAUGGUCCCAUAACAGCCCCAUAAUGACCCCAUAACAGCCCCACAGUGACCCAAUAACAGCCCCAUAAUGACCCCAUAACUGCCCCAUUAUGACCCAAUAACUGCCCCACAGUGACCCCAUAACAGCCCCACAGUGACCCCAUAACAGCCCCAUAGUGACCCCAUAACUGCCCCAUAAUGACCCCAUAACUGCCCCAGAAUGACCCCAUAACUGCUCCAGAAUGACCCCAUAACUGCCCCAUAGUGACCCCAUAACAGCCCCACAGUGACCCCAUAACAGCCCCAUUGUGACCCUAUAACUGCCCCAAUGUGACCCCAUAACAGCCCCAUAGUGACCCCAUAAGAGCCCCACAGUGACCCCACAACAGCCCCAUAGAGACCCCAUAACAGCCCCAUAAAGACCCCAUAACUGCCCCAUAAUGACCCCAUAACUGCUCCAGAAUGACCCCAUAACUGCCCCAUAGUGACCCCAUAACAGCCCCAUAGUGACCCUAAAACUGCCCCAUAGUUACCCUAUAACUGCCUGAUAGUGACCCCAUAACCACCCCAUAGUGACCCCAUAGCUGCCUCAUAUUGAUCCCAUAACAUCCCAUAAUGACCCCAUAACAGCCCCAUAGUGACCCCAGUCAUGGGGUCAGUAUGGAGCUCUAUGGGGUGACUAUGGGGCUGUUUUGGGGUCACUAUGGAGCUCUAUGGGGUGACUAUGGGGCUGUUAUGGGGUCACUACAGAGCUCUAUGGGGUCACAUUGGGGCUGUUAUGGGGCCACUAUGGUGGUCUAUGGGGUCAAUAUGGGGCUGUUAUGGGGUCUCUAUGGAGCUCUAUGGGGGUUCUAAGGGGCUGUUAUGGGGUCAUUAUGGGGCAGUUAUGGGGUCACUAUGCGGCUCUAUGAGGUCACUAUGGAGCUCUAUGGGUCACUAUGAAGGUCUAUGGGGUCACUAUAGGGCUGUUAUGGGGUCUCUAAGGACCUCUAUGGGGUCUCUAAGGGGCUGUUAUGGGGUCUCUAUGCAUCAGUUAUGACAUCACUAUGAACUCUAUGGGGUCACUAUGGGGCAGUUAUGGGGUCUCUAUGCGGCAGUUAUGGGGUCACUAAGCGGCUCUAUGGGGUCACUGUGGAGCUCUAUGGGGUCUCUAUGGGACAGUUAUGGGGUCACUAUGCGGCUCUAUGAGGUCACUAUGGGGCAGUUAUGGGGUCCCUAUGGGCUCAAUGGGGCUCCAUGGGACUCUAUGGGCUCUGUGGUCCCUAUGGGUCAAUGGGGUCAAUGGGGCUCUGUGGACCCAAUGGGAUCUAUAGGAUCAGUGGGGCUCUGUGGUUUCUAUGGGGUCAAUGGGAUCAAUGGGGCUCUGUGGUCCCUAUGGGCUCAAUGGGGUCAGUGGGGCUCUGUGGUCCCUAUGGGCUCAAUGGGGUCAAUGGGAUCAUUGGGGCUCUGUGGUCCCUAUGGGCUCAAUGGGGCUCUGUGGUCCCUAUGGGCUCAAUGGGGUCAAUGGGGCUCUGUGGUCCCUAUGGGAUCUAUAGGAUCAGUGGGGCUCUGUGGUUUCUAUGGGGUCAAUGGGGUCAAUGGGGCUCUGUGGUCCCUAUGGGAUCUAUAGGAUCAGUGGGGCUCUGUGGUCCCUAUAGGAUCAAUGGGAUCAGUGGGGCUCUGUGGUCCUUAUGGGGCUCAAUAGGAUCAGUGGGUUCUAUGACUCCUAUGGGAUCAAUAGGGCUCUCUGGACCCUAUGGGCUCCCUGGUCCCAAUGGGCUCUAUAGGAUCAAUGGGGCUCUGUGGUCCCUAUGGGCUCAUUGGGCUCAAUGGGGCUCUGUGGUCCCUAUGGGUUCAAUGGGAUCAAUGGGGCUCUGUGGUCCCUAUGGGAUCAAUGGGAUCAAUGGGGCUCUGUGGUCCCUGUGGGUUAUUUGGGAUCAAUGGGGCUCUGUGGUCCCUAUGGGUUCAAUGGGAUCAAUGGGGCUCUGUGGUCCCUAUGGGAUCAAUGGGGGCUCUGUGGUCCCUAUGGGGCUCUAUAGGACCAAUGGGUUCUAUGACCCCUAUGGGAUAGAUAGGGCUCCCUGAACAUUAUGGGCUCUGUGGUCCCUAUGGGCUCAAUGGGAUCAAUGGGGCUCUGUGGUCCCUAUGGGAUCAAUGGGGUCAGUGGGGCUCUGUGGUCCCUAUGGGUCAAUAGGACCAAUGGGGCUCUGUGGUCCCUAUGGGCUCUAUAGGAUCAAUGGGGCUCUGUGGUCCCUAUGGGCUCAAUGGGGUCAAUGGGGCUCUGUGGUCCCUAUGGGCUCUAUAGGAUCAAUGGGGCUCUGUGCUCCCUAUGGGUCAAUGGGAUCAAUGGGGCUCUGUGCUCCCUAUGGGAUCUAUAGGAUCAGUGGGGCUCUGUGGUCCCUAUGGGUUAUAUGGGGUCAAUGGGGCUCUGUGGUCCCUAUGGGCUCUAUAGGAUCAAUGGGGCUCUGUGCUCCCUAUGGGCUCUAUGGGAUCAUUUUCGC